UCUGAAGAAACCUGACGAACUGAAAGUCCGAAGAAGCGCAUGUUCAGUUCAGGUGCCUGACACGCGCACCCCGCCGCGACGCACCCGACCCGGACCAACCAUAGCGCGGCGCGCUGGCGGUGGCGGCGGCGGCAGCGCACGGGCGACGAGGAAGGCUCGGGCCAGCCAGGCCCGUCAGGAGGCCUGCACAGCUUUCGCUCCUCCACCGGCGUCGGCGCGUCGCCCCUUCUCCGGUGGAGUUGGAGGCGGCGGCGUCUGAUUUGUUCUCCAUUAGCUGCUGUUGAUUCUGAACUGGUGUGCUGCCAUCCAAGCCCGAUCCGUACUUGAUACGUCGCUCCAUGGUGCCGCAAAGGAUCAGUCCAUCUCAGUUGGCAUCACCCCUAUUGGUGCCCAGUUGAGGACACAAAAGCCCAAGGUGGUACAUGGCCAUCGAGCGCUGCAGGAUCUGGUGGCCGCGCCAGGAGCUGCAGCUCGACCAGGGGCCCGUUCCGGUGAGGCUCAUCCUGUUCGGAUGGUUCUUCACCAGUGGCGCUUCCCUUGACAUCGUCAUCUCCGCGGCUGUCCCCCAGGAUCAGAUCCUGCGGUCUUUUGCCACGCUCGACACUCUCCAGGAUGCCUGUAAGCCUGCAAGAAUCUGCUACAUUUACCAUUCUUGGGGAUUGCGGUCGACAUCUCCCUGGAGAAUUAGAAGAAUGCUGCUGUACUAAACAACUGCCCUUGGACGCACAAUCGGUUCAGAGAGAACAUUCUGGCACAAGCAGAAACAAUGUUAUGAUCAGAUCAGUUGGGAAUGGGGAUCAGCAUCCAAGUUAUGGUAAUAGAAAAUGGGAAUGCGAUUGUUGUGUGUUAGAUGGUUUUCUGGAUGCUUGCAGAAAGUCUGCAGUCAAAGAGGGUAGCUGGGUGCACUUCUUUUGCAAAUCUGGAAACAGCGAUAGGAGCAACUUAAAUCAAGUUCCAGCUCUUGGCCAUCUGUAUAUUGAUGGCCAACUGAUUGAAAUCAAUCAUUGCCACGUAUGUUAUACUAUAUGAGGUUCCAACCUUUGGGAGAAACCAUUUUUCACUGGGUGUGGACGCACCUCGUGAGUUGAAAGCUUCUUUCAAAAAGCCAAACUGGAUAAAUGAUCUGCAAAAACAACCAUCAUUUCUUGAUUUGGAUUCAAUUCUUUUGGCACUCAAUUGUUCAAAUGCAGCUAGACUGCCAGUCACUCAGGAAUGCUCUACCAGCAGCUCUGGGCCUUAUUUCGCCUUUGCAUCGGUAUAUGAUGCCCUGGUUCAAGUGACAUGGCACUGCAUGGGAAUAUUCUUGGCUUCAGCAUCAACUAUUCUCUAUAUCAUGAUUAUAGUGUUCCGAAAAUGUUUAUGCCAUAUGUCCCAGUACUUGAUGCUACAUAAGGUUUUCAAACAUUCAUGGAAUAACAUUCAGCGUCGCAGUUGUCAAAUUCUUUACUGGCCAAUUGUCCUCCGAGAUACCUCCCUAAGCUCCACUGUGAACAUGGAGUAUGCACACAAAGCUGCAAUUCGGAAGCAUGCUCUGUGGUCAAGUAUCGCUGUGGAUCUCCUGAUGGGUUUUGUCCUUGGAGCAGUAUUUUUAUUAAAUACGGAGACAAUUUGUAUUUGGACUAUUGCUCUCGUCCACCACAUGACAGACGCAAUCUUACGAUCUGGCUGUGUGUGGCUGAUGGGUGUUCCGGCUGGCUUUAAGCUGAAUACAGAGUUAGCAGAGCUUUUAGGCAUGAUUUCACUGAAUGCAGUUCAAAUUUACUCUACCCUUUGGUUCUUUGUGGGAGCCUACCUGAGGCAUAUAAUUCAAGGAAUUGCAUUUUCUGGAAUUAUUUUGGGUUUGACAGCUCCAGUUUCAUUCUUUAUUGAUAUUAUCCAGCUUGCUACAUUGCAUGUUACUAUGCUUCACUGGUUAAUAUCAUCGAUAUAUUCAAGACAGAUUCAGACUGUUGCAUCCUUGUGGCGUCUUUUCAGAGGGCGCAAAUGGAAUCCUCUUAGGCAGAGGUUAGAUAGCUAUGACUACACAGUUGAACAGCACGUGGUUGGUUCCUUGCUGUUUACACCGGUCCUACUCCUUAUACCUACAACUUCUGUAUUCUAUGUAUUCUUCUCUAUCUUGACUACAACAGUUAUCUGGGUGUGUGUGAUGCUGGAAAUCGCAAUCGCGGUAAUCCAAUCUACGCCUUAUGCUGAGUUAACUCUAUGGAUGACGAGGAGGCAAAGAUUUCCUGCUGGUAUAUUUUUCCUUCACGUGCCAUCCUCAUCUGGACAUACCUUUGAAGAUGAUGACCUAUCAGCCCAUCCAAUCAGAGGUUGCAAUGAAAGGAAAACAAAGGAUACUGUACAUGAACAAUCAGAGUCAUUAGUUUCAGAACUUAAUUGCAACUAUGCCACUCUUGGUAAAAUGUUCAUCUCGACUUUUGCUUAGACCUUUUGUAGUUGAAUAGUUGAUACAUUUUUACUUCGUUGGAUAUCGAAUUAUCAGCAACAUGUUCAUAUCGUAAUGCAUGACAAGUUUCCAUUUAUGGGAUCAUAAUAUAUCAAUAAAGGUAGUUAACAAACAAACCGAAGUCCAAAUUUGACUAGCUUCUGCCACUUUGAGUACAUGAUAUUUGUGCAGCCUAGCUUUAUGUGCUUAUAACAAAAGUAUGCUUGCUUUUUUCAAUAUAAUGUAUCUGUGCAUCUGUUUGAAGAACUAGCCCUGCAGUUGCUUCUGUGUUGUUUUACUUGGUAGUGAUCUAACAUAAAGGAUGCUAUGUGCAGUCCAAGUAAUCAGAUCAAAUUAUGAGAGAGUUUUCAACAGGACGGGUUUCUCCUUCUGCAAACAAUUGGCAUACGGGAUCCUUAGUGGUGAAAGGGUGCCUUCAUCGCUGCAUCUUCAACCGUCUCCUUCAUUUCCCUGGAUGAACAUUGGUAUCACAGAAUACUGGAUGCAUUGCCGUGAUUCUGUACUUUCAUGCGCACCGAAGAGGUGAUGGAGUGAAGUUUUGCACUAAUUGCCUGACCUAGUGACAAAUUCAGUUUUUGAUUACCUAACUCAGCAGCAUGACUUAGAUCCUGUUCGCAGAUCUGUUGGAACAAAUGGCCAAGUAUUGUUGUCCCAUCUUUUAUGCAAUACUUGCAUAACAAGAAUAUUAUAAUGUUUACAGCAAGGCACAAAAUUUUCAUAUGAGAGCGAAGCUUUCAUACUGGAUCUUUCAUGUCAUCAUCUUCUACAAUGAUGCCUCACUCUGGGUUAUGUCUUGAAUAUUACUCGGCUUUCAUACUGGAACUCUCAUGCAUGCACCAGCUUUUAUGCAACCAUAGUUGUCACAUUUGAGCUGAUCCAUGUUUUUGUACGAUUCAGUUAAUUGCUUUUGAGGUGGGGUGGUUUGUA